GCCAGUGUGGUGUAGUGGUUUAAACAUUGGACUAUGACUCUGGAAACUGGGGCUCGAAUCCCAGCUCAGCCA